rnacentral:rRNA from 1 species
GAUACGGGGGGUAGAGGAGGGGGGGUAAGAGGUAGGGGGCAAGGGUUACUCGGAAUUAGUGGGCGUAAAGCGUGGGUAGGUGGUGGUUUAAGUCUGCGUGGAAAGCCCGUGGCUCAACCUGGGAAUUGCAGUGGAUACUGGGUCACUAGAGUGUGGUAGAGGGAUGCGGAAUUUCUGGUGUAGCAGUGAAAUGCGUAGAGAUCAGAAGGAACAUCCGUGGCGAAGGCGGCAUCCUGGGCCAACACUGAAACUGAGGCACGAAAGCGUGGGGAGCAAACAGGAUUAGAUACCCCGGUAGUC